rnacentral:rRNA from 1 species
CGGCAACAGCUCAAAUUUGAAAUCUGGCCUCCUCGAGGCCCGAGUUGUAAUUUGUAGAGGAUGUUUUGGGUACCGCGCCGGUUUAAAUUUCUUGGAACAGAAUGUCAGAGAGGGUGAGAACCCCGUC